rnacentral:lncRNA from 1 species
AAGUAUGAGAGGGGGGAUUUUUUCUUUUGAAAAAAAAUAGCUACCUUUUUUCUCUAACACAUCAGUACCAAGAAGUUCCAAGGGGAUCCGAAAAAUCAUUAUAAAAAAACAGCAGUAUCAUACAACCGAAAAAAAAAGGGAAAUCAGUACCUAAGUAGCUUCAAAGAUAUUGCUAAAAAAAAGGGAGCCCACACAUCUAAACAACAUCGGUUCAUCAUCAUAGAAGAGAAAAAAUAGAGAUAUUGUACCCGAAAUCUGAUCCUUUGAGCUGGGUUGGCCGUCGUUAAGGCUUUAGCCGGCUGUUCCGAUGGAGGGUGAUGGUAAGACCGUUUUUCUUAAACGGUCAUGGCGGACGAAGGUUCUUCGUCGGAGGUAACG